rnacentral:rRNA from 1 species
AUUGAACGCUGGCGGAAUGCUUUACACAUGCAAGUCGAACGGCAGCACGGGGCAACCUGGUGGCGAGUGGCGAACGGGUGAGUAAUACAUCGGAACGUGCCCAAUCGUGGGGGAUAACGUAGCGAAAGUUACGCUAAUACCGCAUACGAUCUACGGAUGAAAGCGGGGGAUCGCAAGACCUCGCGCGAAUGGAGCGGCCGAUGUCAGAUUAGGUUGUUGGUGGGGUAAAGGCUCACCAAGCCGACGAUCUGUAGCUGGUCUGAGAGGACGACCAGCCACACUGGGACUGAGACACGGCCCAGACUCCUACGGGAGGCAGCAGUGGGGAAUUUUGGACAAUGGGCGCAAGCCUGAUCCAGCCAUUCCGCGUGCAGGAUGAAGGCCUUCGGGUUGUAAACUGCUUUUGUACGGAACGAAACGGCUCUCUCUAAUACAGGGGGCUAAUGACGGUACCGUAAGAAUAAGCACCGGCUAACUACGUGCCAGCCGCCGCAGUAAAAC